UGUACCUAUGCUUAAAUAAACUUUGCUUUGUGCUUAAGCUUAACGGGGUAGUUUGCAAUUCUUUGCUUACUAUCGUGAACCGAGAUUGCUGGUCCGGGCCUUCCGUUGACCUCCUCGGUUCAAGCUGUUUUGUUAUAACGUACGUCCACCCCGUGACACUGCUCUUACCGUCCACCCCGUGACACUGCUCUUACCGUGAGUCGAAUCCGCAACGGUACGUUUGGGCCACGGCCUAGUAGCUCCCCCGGCUUCCUGAUCAGAGGUUGAAGUGUGGCACAGUGACUGGAGCCGAACAGCCGACUUGGACCAUGAGGCACAGGGCCUCCCAUUAGGAUGGUGGAUAAAUGGGAUAGACAUCUGGAUCCUUGAUGACUGUGGAGCCACGCUAUCAGGCUGGCCUGCCGCACUAUGGGCUGCAUACAUGUGUCAAAAGAGAAAUACAUUUCUGUCUUUUAA